rnacentral:lncRNA from 1 species
GAAAUAUGGCAACAGCAAAUGGAAUUGCUGGUGGCAUCACCAAUGUGCCUGGAGCUCCCAACAACGUGGAGAUCGAACAUCUGGCUCGCUUCGCCGUUGACUAUUACAACAAAAAUGAGAACGCAGUUUUGGAGUUUGUGACAGUGAUAAGUGCAAAGAAGCAGGUGGUGAGUGGGGUGUUGUAUUACAUAACCUUGAUGGCCAAAGAUGGCGAAACCAAAAACGUGUAUGAAACCAAAGUGUGGGUGAGAGAAUGGUUGAAGUCUAAGAAGGAGGUGCUGGACUUCAAACUCGUCGAUGAUUCAAUCAGAGAAGUAAUCGAAGGUGGAGUCAACGAUGUUCCUGCCGACACCCCACACAUCCAGAAUCUCGGUCGCUUUGCCGUUGAUCAAUACAACAAAGACCAGGUUCUCUUUUAUUAUAUUGUUCUUCCUUUUCUUCAUUUCACUAGGUAACGAUUAUUCCAUGAUUGAUUUUGUUGAUGACGCAGAAUGCAAAUUUGGAGUUUGUGAGGGUGAUUCAUGCACAGGAACAGAUAGUUGAAGGGUUCUUAUACUACCUAACUUUGGAAGCAAAAGAUGGUGAGAGUAAAAAUGUGUAUGAAGCGAAGGUGUGGGAGAGGUCAUGGAUCAACUCCACUCUAUUGGUCGAAUUUAAGCUUAAGCUUGUCAAUGAUGCUCUUUAAUCUUCUUUCCAUCGUAGAAUACCACUUUUCAAGACUAUUUUACUAUGCAUGUAUGCUAUAAAUAAAUGUAACUCAUGUUACGUACCCACCAUAUAUGUAUUCCCAUGAACUCCACUAUAAAUAAACGUUAUCAUUUAAUUAUAACUAAUGUUUGUGAUAUAUAUUUGUUGUUUAUUUGAAUAAAUUUAUUUUUGUUAAGAGGAUUCCAAGGUAAUUUAUUUUUUAUGUUUAUUUGAAAAAAUUUGGAGGUAAUAGUGAGACUAGAUUUCGAAGUAAAAUUUGUGAGAAUUAGUGUAGUAUUUAUUUUAUGUGACAGAUUAAAAAAAUUUACUUCCAAAUUCACUUUUACUUACCUCUAAAUCUAUUCAAAUAAACAACAAAAAAUUAGGCUUAAUAGCACUAAUGGUCCCUAUUUUGGCUAUCCACCUCAUUAAAAAUUGGGUUUCAUUAAAGAAAGACUUAAUACCUCUGAUGGUCCCUAUUUUCGUUAAGUGUGUUCGAAAUGGUCCUAGUUUUAUUUCAGAUUUUACCUCACUAUGCCUCAAGGGAAUCCACGUGGCCAGUUAAAUGCCACAUUAACACUUUUCUGCACAGCUGGAGUUUUUGCCGUUAACUAUUUAAACGGCGUCUCCAAAAAGGACCAGAUUGAACGAAAUUUACAAUCUUUAGGACCACAUUGAACAGAAAAAAAAAAUGGGGACCAAUUUGAAGUUUGCCAACCAAAAUAGGGACAUUAGUGUUAUUAAGCCAAAAAAUUAUCAUCAAAUCCUCUUAAUUACUCUCCUCCAAAUCCACUCAGGUGAACACAGUUUUAAUAGAUGAAAGAUUAUAAUAUCCUUAUAUAUAUAUAUAUAUAUAUAUAAUACUCUAUUCCUUGAAAUAAUACAUUAGAAUUAUUUUUUAAACUUUUUAUUAGUUGCAUCAUCCUUUCUAAUGGGGUUUUUCCCAUUGCUUGUGUUUAUUCUCUUCCCGUCUAAGUUCUGCGACGAACUCUUUUUGGUCUAAAUAGUACUGUUUCAAACUUAAGUAACUUAUUACUCACGCCCCCGUAUGUUAGCAUCAUUAAGUGUGUUAUCCUAUAUUUUUCUGUGUCUUAAUUACUCCAUGGUUGUAUUCUCCACCUCAUUGUAUAAUUUGUUUAUGAAAUAAUAAAGUUUGUCAUCGAAUUUGAAAUUACUGAACAUGUAUAUAAUACCACAAAGCUUUGUCUAUCCCAAACUUUCAGCUUUGAAUUCACUGGCACUACUACAGAAUUAAUCAUAGAUAGCGCUUUUUUAAAUAAGCGCUAUCUAUGAAUGUACAGAACAAUAGAUAGCGCUUAUUUAAAAAAACGCUAUCUAUACCUAUGAUAAUAGAUAGCGCUUUUUAGAAAAAACGCUAUCUAUAAAUAAUUUUUUUUUUUUAAAUUCAUAAUUUAAAAUAGAUUCAUAAUAGAUAACAUUUAUUUUAAAAAACGCAAUCUAUUAUAACACAAUAAAUAAGAUUUUACUUAAAAUAUAUAUAUAUAUAUAUAUAUAUAUAUAUAUAUAUAUAUAUAUAUAUAUAUAUAUAAUGUUAAAAAUAUUUUGAAAAGAGGUUUUCAAUCCCUCUUCGUCGGAGUAUUUUACGUAUUUCGUUCGAGUUUCUUUUUACUCUUCUUUGAACUCUUUUUAUUUUCAUAUUUUCCAAAAUUUUCCCUGUUUUUCCUAUUUACUCUCGUAUUUUUUAAAAUUUUCUCCCUUUCUCUUAAAUUUUCAGUUUCACUUAAGAUACAAAUUCAUCAAUCCCGCCAUCCCCAAAUUUCACUUUCGAUUUGCCCCUAAAUUUUACUUCGUGCUUGCACUCAAAUUUCACUGUGUUUAUCCCAAACCGGCAUUACAUUUUAGAUCUUAGUGGAGCAAGUCAUUAUUGUGUUGUCUUCUCCAUCAUUGCUCAUCGGCAGGCCAAAGUUCAUCAGUUGCCAUCACUGGUAAGGGUUUAGGAAACCAACCUCCUUCAAUAAAUUAGUACGGUCGUGGCUAGGUUUAAUGCUUCGCCAGAAGUUCUGGUGAGAGAAGUGAUGGUGUUGUUGAAGACAUCACCUACAAACCACACCUCGAGUCAGCACUCUCCUUUGCCAUAUCUUCAUUGUGCUUGCGGCAAUGUUGGCACCUCAUUUUCAAUUUCGUGUUACUUCUCUCAUUCUCGCGAAGCAUCACCAACAAACCACUCCUCAAGUUCUCUCUCUUGCAACAGCCACAAUUCUUCACAUAUCCACCUUUUCUCCUCACAUUUCUACCUUAUUUCAGCUAUUUCGGCCUUAGAAACACUAUCUUCACCGAGUAGUUCUUCGAUCUACGGCCUCUGUUAGGAUUUCCCUCAUUUUUCAUCUUUUUCUUUGAUUAUAACCGUUUAAAUACUCUUUUGCUCCGAUUAAACACUUUUCCACCGUUUAAUCUCCAUUUUGAUCUGUUUAAUCGGUUAACGUAGUGUUUUAAGGUUCUUUCACCGUUCGAUUUAGGGUUUCCUUGCUUCAUUCAUAGUUUUCGUUUGUUUGCUCUUGGAUUCGUAUCAUUCCAUUGCGUUUCACUCUUCGAGGACUUAUUGGAAAGGUGGACUUUACUGUUAGGCAUCUAUCUUCUUCCAGAAACUCAUUUCCUACCACAUGGGAGUUCAGCAGUACUCAACAAUGUAUUGGAAACACACAUCAGGUCUGUUGUUUCUUUUUCUCUGACCGAAAGUCCAUUUUUUUUCUCUCUUGAAAGUAAUUUUUAUUUUGCAAGUGCUCAUUCUGAUAUUUUCCCCUUUGUCUGAAAAAUAGUGUUCUACAUACACUGCAAUCCUUCAUCAGAGAAAACCUGGACCAUGCGUACCACCUUUCCGGAAUAUGUUGUUGCUCUGGCCAGUAUAGUUGGAUCUGUGCUUUUUGCUAUAAGUUAAUCCUAUCUCAUAUGUUGCCUGGUAAUUUAUGGAUUUUUGAGCAAAAUAUAUAUAUAUAUAUAUAUUUUUUACUUUUCAAAUUAUCAUACAUUCUUCCAAUUAUCAUAUUUUUUUCUUGUGAAAGUGUGUAUGAAUUAGGAUAUUGGGCUACUUGACUCCCCAAAAAUUUUAAUUUGAUCCUAUAAAUUGCACACAAGCAGAAGCAAUUACUUANAAUAAUGACCNUGGUAAUGCCUUGCAUCCAAGGUCGCAAGUAAGUUUAUUUCCUAUUACUGAUGUUAGNAAUUGAUUUCUCACCGUUCAAUCCAGAUAUUUGGUGGUGUUGGUAUUGCUUGUCUUCCAUUGGGACUUAUAUUUUCUUUCAUUCAACGUCCAAAGGCUGUUAUCACUCGUUCCAGUAUAUCAAGGUGUUAUAUCCUUUUAGAGCUGGAAACUACUAAAUGUUGAUUGAAUAUGUUGUAUUAUAUUUAUUGNGUGGUUUGUUGGUUAUGGUUGUAGGAAGCUACUAAAUUGGGCUGAAAAGCAAAAGAUCUGAAGAAAGCAGCUGAGUCACUUCGUCAGGAAGAAAAAGCUGGUUCAAAGGAUAGGAAAUUUCGUAAAAAUGUGAAAUCAGUGGAAAAGUACCAUUGUGGUUUAGUGCUUUAGUGGUACUUUAUAUUUCCAACAUCGUGUUAAAUAUUUUAUGUGUACNAUUGUUCACAUGCCAUAUAUUAAGUUGAUGUAUGCUUUUCUAGUGGCUGCUCAAACUUGUCCANAGUUUAUGAUUAAUUUGUUUGUGUUUAUGUUCUUAAACUUACCUAUCUUGCAUAAUUUGCCAGGAGUUGCUUCAAUUAGAAGAUUUCAAACUUCUUGAAGAGAUGUACCCAUAAGGAGAAAAGGUGAGUUCCUUGUCCAUACUAGACUUCUACACAUAUACAAUGUGCUAUAGUUCCCCCACUUACUGAUCCUGUAUGAAUNCAGGCUGAGGCAACAUGGGCACUAACAGUUCUAGGGUAUNUGGCAAAACUUGUUUUGGGAAUUUUAGGGUAAGCAAUGACAUAUAAGGAUUGAGUUACUUGGAAUGCUGGAUACACUAAACUGUCUGUGAUGAUUUUCAGAAGGUUCUCUCUUGAUAAAUUUCAUAAAGAUUGAUAGAUAAAUAGAUUAAAUGGUUUAUUUUCGUUACUAAAAAUUGAUUGAAUUUAAAUUAAUGAAGGAANGACUGAUAAGAAGUUUAAGUAAAAUUAUAUUUGGUUAUAGAAUAUAUAAUUUAACUAGGAGAAAAUAAUGAUAUUUUAGAGAAAAUAGACAAAAUUAGUUGNAUUGAAGUGCUACUAGANGUAUGAGGGUGGCAAUAGACACCCCUUCGAUGGGGGCAGUGAAUACAGUUGCAUUACUAUUGCUGGGAUAUUAUUACUCUUGCUAUCUUAAUCUAAAACAGGUUUUAUGACUUCCAUGUAUCAUCUAACUUAAGAUUUGAAAACUGUGCCAGAUUAAUCGUUUCUGUGGCGUGGGUUGGUCAUAUUAUUAUCUAUCUAUUAGUUGAUCCUCCUAUUUCUCCUUUCUUGAAUGAAGUUUUCAUCAAGCUGGAUGAUAUCUGGGGUAUGUUGGAAUACGCUUACCUUAAUAUUUGAUUACCAUAAGUUAUAUAGUUUAGAUAUAUUAUAUUAUAAUUUCCAUUAUAUUAUUCUUCGUGAUGUCUUCUUCUUUCAUUAGGUCUUCUUGGUACACCUGCAUUUGCAUUCUUCUGCUUCUACCUUCUUGNUGUGAUUGCUGGAGCCAUGGUGCUUGGGCUGAAGUUUUUAUUACUANUCAUCCAAUGAAGUAAUUAAACAUUGCAGUCUAUUAUACCAUUUCACAUUGAUUUUAAUUUGUAUUGGUCACAUACUAGGACUUGUUAAUUUUUCUAACAUUAAUUUCUACUAAAAUUUAAUUAACUAAUUUUAUAUUUUUUUUUGCAGUAUUUUUUUAGUUACAGAUGUCGACAACAUUGUGACAAUCAAAUCAUUGAAGUUAGAGAAGAUUGAUGUUUAUAUUUAAUUAGUACACAUUUAUAGGUUAUGUUAUGAAUGUUAUACUUGUAUAUAUUGUCUUAUAAAGCUAUGUAAUAUCUUAUAAAGUUAUGUAAUGUCAUGAUACAUAUUGAAUAAUUCAAUGAUUAUAUUUUGAAAUAUUAUUGUAUCAAUGAUUUUUAUUUGUACACUAAACUAAUGAACAUUUUUUUAUCUUUGUAGUUUCAUAUUUUUCUUAAUAAUUUAUAUUUUUUUAUAUAUAAUAGAAUCAAUAAAUAGUGUUAGUUUGUAUACAAUAGAAUUAAUAUUUUAUAUUUUUUUUGAAAAAAUAUUUUAUAUUUUUUGAAAUAUUUUAUAUUUUUUGAAAUAUUUUAUUAAAAAUUUAUUAUUAUUUUUUAAAAAUUUAGAUUAAUAGAUAGCGUUUAUUUAAAAAAGCGCUAUCUAUUGGUGUCUGACAAUAAAUAGUGCUUAUUUAAAGAAGUGCUAUCUAUUAAUAGAUAGCGCUUACAUAGAUAGCGCUUGCUUAAAAAGCGUUAUCUAUAAUAAAAAAAAUAGCGCUAUCUAUGAGUUUUUUUGUAGUAGUGUGGGCUGAUCUAAUCAUUCUUUCGUUAACUUUAUUGUUGUCGCCAGAAUCUAAAACCCAUCGCUCAUUACAUGCAGAAAACAAACUAAACACGCAGUUUUGUUCUGAAACUUAGUCUUGGGUUCUCUUCUGCACUUGAUCUGCAAACACAUAAUAAAUUAUAAUGUAAGAGAUUUGAUGACAAUCAAUAGUGAAAAAUCUUAAAUUUUAUUUAAUUUCACUUCUCUUUAUCUAACGGAAGACUUUUCUUUUACCUUAAUUUUUAAACAAUCAUACUGAGUCCAGUGAGAAAAGAAUUAGAAGGAAGUUCUCUAAGCUACAACACAGAGUGUUAUAGUAUCUCAAUUUAGACCCAUAAAUUUCAAAAUGCACUUAAGUUGGUCCUACAUAGACAUAAUUGAUGAGAUUCCAGAUAUACAUAUAGUUGAAGAGACACGUACAAUUCUCUCAGAAUUCAAUAUUACAACCUCAAACAAAUUACAUAUAGUGGAUACUCCCAAACAAAAUAAUUAUAACAAGCUUUUUAGACUAUGCAAAUCUCCAAACUUUAACCCUUGAUUAUUUGGAGACAAAUAAUGGCAGUCUAUUUAAUAGAAAAAGCUUGUAUGGAUUUACUUGCCAUCAUCAUGAUGUAAAAGUUUGGCAAUGAGCUUGGAUGAAUGAUUUUCAAUGCUUUAAUAGUAUUCAGUUCAAGAAAGUUGUUUUGUUGUCUAGUUUUCUCUUAGAUGCUUGUAAUUGACAUUUGCUUUACUUUUGUUGAUGUUACCUUCCGACAACUUCUAAAUUGAAAUAGAUCAAUUUAAGAAUCUGGAGAGAAUGUUCGAUACUCAAAAGAAUGUUUUACUUUUAUGUAUGUGGAACAUAGAAUCCACCUUUUCUUCUUUACUCUUGGAAUCCAGCUAUUCUUGGGAUUUACUUUUAGAAUUUAGCAAUCCUUGGUUUUACUUUUGGAACAACAUUCUCUUGGUCUUCCUUCGUUAAUUUUAAUACCAAUAAAUCAGCAAAAAAUAAUAUAGGACCUUUUGAUAUCAGAAAAAUAAAAAUUUAAUUAUACAUUAUUAACUUGAAAAAUGUUACCUAUACAUUUUCUAACAUUUAAAAAAAUGUUGCCUCUACACUCUACUACAAAAGUGACAUAUUAUAUUGAUUUAGAAAUCAGUAGUGUAAGGUGAUAUAAUAAGUGAAACACAUAUGAUAUUAGUUAUCUAAGAAUCGAUGUUAUAUGUUAUGAUUUUUUCUUUUAAAAGCACGGUGUAACAACGGCUUGCGGUUAUGAAACGAGUGCGAGGAUGGAGGGCGAAACUGAAACUAGUGUCGACAAGAUGGACUUUUCUCAAUAGCAGCACAAGGAGGGUGUUUCUUUCAUGCACCUUCCUUCACAUAGCACUACAACAACGACAAUGGCCAGGGUUCAACACAAAGUAGUGAAAGGUUGUGCCUUCUUCGCAUAGUAGUAGUGACGCAAUAUGGAGGCUUCUCAGUGUUAAAGGGCGACAUCGAUGAAACUAGCGGGAAAAGAAAAAAACCAAUGAAGCUUUUCUAAAUAUCGAGAGGGAAGCUUUUGAUUAUGUAACGUAUCCUAAGAAUAUUCCUUGUACAAUCUUAUCUUCAAGCUUGUGUCUCCUUUGAUCAGGAACAUGUACGCAGUAGAUUGAUCAAAAUACUGGUAGGUGGUUAGUUUCCAAAUUUCUUUCACUUCAAGGUUCAAUAAUAGUCUUGCCUUGGACUACCUUAGUUGGACAUUUAUUUAGAUUGUAAACUGUAAUGUAAACUUCUUUAGUCCAAAAAGUAUUAGGGAUGCUUUUCUCUUUUAGCAUUGAUCUUGUAUCAUCUCCAUGACUGUAUGAUUCUUUCUCUGUGUGGCACACCAUUUUGUUGUGGAGUAUAUGUGACUGUAAGUUGUCUAUCUGUGUCUUCAUCUUCACAAAAUUUUUCAAACUCGCGAGAUAUGUUUUCCUUUCCACGAUCACUUCUAAGUACUUUUAUCUGUUUUUCGCAUUACUUCUCAACAAGGGCCUUACAAUUCUUGAAUACUCUUAAGAGUUUUGACUUUGCCUUUAAGAAAUAGACUCAUGUUAUCUUAGAGAAGUCAUCAAUGAGAAGGAUGAAAUACAUGUUGUUGUGAUGUAAAGGCGUCCUUAUCGAUCCACAAAGAUUAGUAUGGAUCAUCUCUAAAGUCGUUUGCUCUCCAUGCUUUUCCUGUUGAGAACGGCAAUCAAUGUUGUUUCCCGAGAAAACAUCUAUCGCAUGAUUCAUUAUUCUGCUUCAAGCAUAGAAGAUCUCUCAUCAUGUUUUUCUUAUAUAGAAGCUUUGAGGCAUUUGUGUUGAAGUAGCCAAAUCUCCAAUGUCAAAGUCAUGAGUCAUCAACUUCUGUCUUCAUAACAAUAUUAGUUCCAAGUUUGAAACUUAUAGGAAAUCUUCUAUUUAUAUUCUCCAUUUUUACUUGACCAAUUUAUAACUUUCUGUUGUCAUAAAUUUUUUAUGUAUCUUUCUCAAAGUGAAAAGAAUAUCUAUUCUCAUUGUGGUGUCGUUUCUCAGCCGAACUUUGACAUUGAUAGAUUUAUUCCCUUAUAUUUUUAGUUCUAAGAUUAUAAUUUUAGUUUUAGUUGAAAGACAUUUUUAAUCAAGUGUUAAAUGUUGUCUUACAUCAAAUCAUAAUAUAUAUUAUAUUUAUAGAUUCAGAUUAUUUUAAAAAAUGUUAAUCAUAACUUAUAUAAAAUGUUCUAGAUUUUUAACUACGUAAAAUAUUUUUAAUUUUGUUUUCUAUAUUAGUUGUGAAGACUUCAACCCACAGUCAUACUAAUUUUAGGAGUUUAGUAUCCCGUAACCUUCUAAUACCAUAUACUUCACCAUUUAAACAAAUAAGCACUAUAACUACUUCCAAUGAUAAUUUUAUUUUAUCAAUACCUAUGUAUAACAGAUAAAAAUAAGAAACAUUAAUAAAAUAAGUUUUUUAACAAUUAUUUUAAACAUAUAAUUGGGUUAUAUAAACGAGUGAGUAAUGUUAAAUAAAUUCUAGUAGUAAAAUAGAUAAUUAAUUAAAUAAAAUCAUAGCUAAGGUUUUGUAAUAAAAUAUCUUUGUCAUUUUGUUUUAUUAAUUACAUAAAUUUCCAAAAAACAUUAAGAAAAAAAAAAACGAAAUAAAGAAUCAUAUAUGUUCACAUCCAAACACGUUCUAAACAUUGGGUGAGUUGUGUCCACAAUUCUAAUUAUCGNNNNNNNNNNNNNNNNNNNNNNNNNNNNNNNNNNNNNNNNNNNNNNNNNNNNNNNNNNNNNNNNNNNNNNNNNNNNNNNNNNNNNNNNNNNNNNNNNNNNNNNNNNNNNNNNNNNNNNNNNNNNNNNNNNNNNNNNNNNNNNNNNNNNNNNNNNNNNNNNNNNNNNNNNNNNNNNNNNNNNNNNNNNNNNNNNNNNNNNNNNNNNNNNNNNNNNNNNNNNNNNNNNNNNNNNNNNCAUGAGAUCAUUGUAUACUGUUUCUCUACCACUCAAAAUUCAAUGAAAAGAAGAUAAGGUUUGGUAUAUUUUUGAGUAUAAAGAGUGGUAGAACAGAGAGGGUGAUGAAGAGAAGAGAAAUAUGGCAACAGCAAAAGUAACUGUUGGUCUUGGUGGCAUCACCAAUGUGCCUGGAGCUCCCAACAACGUGGAGAUCGAACAUCUGGCUCGCUUCGCCGUUCACUAUUACAACCAUCAGCACAACGCAGAUUUGGAGUUUGUGACAGUGAUAAGUGCAAAGAAGCAGGUGGUGAGUGGGGUGUUGUAUUACAUAACCUUGAUGGUCAAAAAUGGCGAAACCAAAAUCCUGUAUGAAACCAAAGUGUGGGUGAGAGAAUGGUUGAAGUCUAAGGAGGUGCUGGAAUUCAAAGUCGUCGACGAUUCAACCACAAAAUUAGGCACAGGUGAAAGAAAGGAUGUUCCUGCCGACACCCCUUACAUCCAAAAUCUCGGUCGCUUUGCCGUUGAUCAAUACAACAAAGAGCAGGUUCUCUUUUAUUAUAUUGUUCUUUCUUUUCUUGAUUUCACUAGAGAACCAUUAUUCCAUGAUUGAUUUUGUUGAUGACGCAGAAUGCAAAUUUGAAGUUUGUGAGGGUGAUUCAUGCAAAGUUGCAGAUAGUGAAAGGGUCCUUAUACUACCUAACUUUGGAAGCAAAAGAUGCUGAGAGUAAAAAUGUGUAUGAAGCGCAGGUGUGGGAGUUCAACUCCACUGAAUUGGUGGAAUUCAAGCGUGUCAAUGAUGCUCUUUAAUCUUCUUUCCACUUUUCAAGACUACGUACUUUUAUUAUGCAUGUAUGCUAUAAAUAAAUGUAACUCAUGUUACGUACCCACCACCACCAUGUAUUCUCAUCAACUCCACUAUAAAUAAACUUAUUAUAUAAUUUUAACUAAUGUUUGUGAUUUAUUUAUAUAUAUAUAUAUAUAUAUAUAUAUGUUUGGGUGUUAAUUAUGGAACAUUCCCUAAUUAUUCUGUUAACAGGUUUUUUAAUAGAUUAACUACAAAUUCCUUAACUAUUCAUUUUCAUGAAAGUACAUGGGUUUUUGUCGUAAAUGUUAAUGACGUUGUAUGAUAAAGAGAAGCUUCCAACAAGUCCAUGGUAACUAAUAAUGUUGCUGAUAUAAUCCACAUAAAUUCUUUCAUAAAUUGACUCUCAUAUCACAAACAGACCGGUGAUAAACAUCGGGAGAGUUGUAUCCACAAAUGCCUCGCUCAUUGAAAAACUAUAUGAAACUUCAACUUAUCUCAUUCUCCUUGGCUGUUCUUAUACAUACUUGAAACUUUUGGAUUCACAAGAGGUGUACUUCACUCAAAAGACCGCUUGAGAUUUUAAGAAAAUGAUUCCUAAUAUAUACCAAAACAUAUCAAUCAUGAUUGAAGGUUCUUAUAGCCUAUACUGGAAUGCACGUAUGAAAAUGAUUGAAGGUUUCUAUUGUAAAAAGUUAUAUUCAAUGUUUCUUAACAUUUUUUUGUUAUGUAAUAUAGUUUCGAAAUAGAUAUAACUAGCAAGAAAUAAAAAGAAAAAAAGUAAAAUAACACUAAGAAUUAAUUAAUCUCUCAAAUAUUUAUAGUAUAUAAAUCUAUAUAUAUAGUAGAGGUUAAUGGUUAUUAAUCAUUAUUUUUCAUUGUUUUAAAGUUGUAGAUAGAAAAUGACGUAACUAAAUAUAUUCUUACAUAGUGAGUGUGAAAUGAAUGCACAAAUGAUUUAAUAGAGAUAAGAAUAUUAUCUGAUUUGGGUGAAUUAAAAAUCAAAGAUUUUAUGCUCAGUUCUUUUUGUGAAUUUUUAUAAUUAUCUACAAAUUGUAUCCGUUGACAUGUUUUUAUAAUUAUCUAUCAACUUUAUACAUUGCUUAACAACAUAAUGUUUGUUCAUUAAUCGUGCUUCAUAUUUUGAGUAAAAUUCAACUAUGCCAACAGACCAAACUAUUAAGUUUCAUGUUAGCAUAGAAGGGAGUUUUACUAUAGAAAUGAAGAAAGAUGUACAAACAAAACAAUGUUUGUUUUAUGGCCUAAUUACAAGAGCUUAAAAUGUGUUAGAUGUUAAUAUCAAAUUCCAAAGGGAUGCUUCCAGUCCACUUGGCAGUUUUAACUGGCAACGAAAGAGUGAUGCGAUAUUUAUGCCCUAACCUCAAUAUAAUGGCUUACGAUGAUAUUGAAAAACUCUUUUAUAUAAAUAUUAGCAAAAACAUGUUUGGUAAGUAAUAAAGAAAAAUGCAGACGAAGGAAAAGGGAAAAGGGAAAAGAAUCUCAAUGCAUACUGCCUUGAUAUUAUUACUGUAGCCAAAAAACAAUCUUAGAAUUUUUUUAUAUUGUUACAAAUUUGCAUUACACUUUAAUAAAAUCAAUAAACGGAAGAGGAUGAAGCAUAACAGGUAAAGAAUUCCUCAACGGGAUAGGGACAGAAGUUAAAAAACUGAAAAUGGACAAGAUUUUGGCGUUGAUUACUCAACCAUACUGCUGUUAAAAAAUGGUACAUGUUCAUAUCCAAACACGUUCUAAACAUUGGCUGAGUUGUGUCCACAAAUCUAAAUAUCGCUUAUAACUUUCAUAUAUUUUGUACACUUAAGAAUAAUGACAUAAACAUCAAUUUGUUAAAAUCCAAACACGUUCUCCAUAUUGGGCAUACUCUUAAAUAAUAUAGAAUUAUCGAAUAUACCAAAAACAUGACAAGCCAGAAAAAUUGGAAGUAAAUAACGCCGGGACCAAAGAGAUGCAAACAAAAUGCAAUAGGUGUAAAAAUACAACCUAUAUGAUUCAAAUUCUUAUGGCUAUCCACAAAUAAAAUCUCAUACAAGACAGAAAAACGAGAUACAUUGAUUUUUGUUUGUUUUUUUUACGAGAUCAUUGUAUACUGUUUCUCUACCAUUCAAAAUUGAAUGAAAAGAAGAUAAGGUUUGGUAUAUUUUUGGGUAUAAAGAUCAUUUAAUUGUAAGUAAAAGCAUUAUUGCAUCAAUUCCACUGUAAUAUCCACCGUAAGACAUAUUUGGAUAAAUAAUUGGAAAGUUGUGCCCACAUCAUUAAAAAUGUACCAAGCUUCAACUUAUCUUUAUUUUCUUUUCCAACUCUAACUUACCAAAUCGAGUUCAACGUACUUCAUAAUAUAAUUCUCCUGAAAAAAAAUUAUUUUAUUAACACCAAACCUUAAUAAAGAAAACCAUUUGAUAACUGUGAUUAAUUAAUAAUAAAAUAUCAAAAAUAAGAUAUAAAUUAAAUGGUUAAAUAAAAGUAUUAUAAGGAAUUGUUAGGAAGUAUUAUAAACUUCUUUUUGUUAAUUUUCGAUCCCAAUCAAUCAUAACAGUUAACAGAGAACUUUUGAUAUCGGAAAAAUAAAACAGUAAUUACACAACCCAGGAAAAUUUUCAACUUUAACUGUAUUACCACUCAAUUUUUUCCAUGCAUUUUAAUAUUAAUUUUUCAAUUUUAAUAUAUUUUUAAACAAAAAUUAUAUUUGACACAUACAUAUAUUUUAUAUUUAUUUGAUAUUUACCCUCCUUUAUUUUUUUUCUAAAUUUUACUUCUUUUUUUUUUUUAAAUUAUUUUACUUUUAUAAUAUAUAUUAAAUGGAUAUAAAUAUAAGUCACCCUUUCCGUUAUUCAUUUUUAAAUAGUAUUCUUAAUUCCAUAAAACAUCCCUAAAGUUUAGCAAAACACAGAUAAAGGUAUUCUAUGCAAGACAUGAGAAAGAGGAACCUGAAACACCAAUAAAAUAGAACAGAAUAUAAGAGUGGUAUUCACCCUUAAUUCUCUAUCAUAUCAUAACUUAAGCAUCUACCUUUCUACUAUCAUCACUAUACCAUACACGCCCCUCCCGUAAACUUUAUCUUCUUUGUUUUAUAUACAUGUUUUUAGCUUCAACUCUGCCUCAUCUUAUAAAUACCAAAAACAGUGUCGAAUUCAAGAUCAAAUUGACGUCGGACAUAUAACAAUUCGACGUCUCCAAUAAAACAAAUUGAUGUUGGAUAUUAUCAUUGUUCGACGUCAAAUUUUGUCAUUGUCCGAUGUUAAUCAAUUUUUUUUAUUUUUUUUAAUUAAUUAUAAUCUUUUAUAAUCUUACGAGACUUGAAAAACAGACAAACAACAAAAUAUAAUCUAGUUUUUGGUAUUUUAUACAAUAGGAACUUUGAACUAUAACUAAAAACAUAAAAGUUAUUAUGACAAUAAUAGUAUUAACUUGUGAUUUUUUUUUUAUAGCUAUGGGUGUUGAUUUUGGUUGGAUUUUUUUACCACUUUUUUAGAACCCCUAAUUCACGAAAAUGUACCAGAGCUCUUACUUUGAGUCUAUGUGAAGUAUAAAAAUUAUUUGGAAAGUUAGCAGCGAUAUAUCUUUAAACAACCAUAACAUUUACUCUGGUUGUCCGCUUUAUUAUUAUUAUUAUUAUAUAUAUCGAUUUCGGGUAGAAAAAAGUUUAUGAUACUGUGGUAGCUUGUGUAGCCAGCUAAUCCUUCUAGAUUCUCAAAAAAACGUUGUGUUCUAUUUUUCAGAAAUUUAUUUUGUUUUUUUCAAACUUUGCAAAAGUAUUUAAAAUGGUUAGACUUUGAAUUUUGAUCCAAAUUUUUUUGUGGGGGCUUCUCAUGGUAUUUUGGUGCUUUGAACAAAGUUUCGGGUCAUUUGGAGUUGUUUUCAAUAUACUCUUAGUUCUACCCUAAAGCUUAGAUGUAUAACAUGUACUGUAAUAUGAAUUACAAACAACAACAACAAACAAUUUGAAAACGAAAACGAAAACAAAAACAAAAACGAAAACGAAAAUUAACCAUAAACAAGGUGGGUUCUUCGAAAUAAAAUAUUGUCACUGGAUACAGAAAACAAAAUGUGCCUAUAUAAAGGAGAAGAACAUGAAAACAAUCGGUCAUAACAAACGAAAAUUAUACCUAAAGUAGUUAAUCAACAUGCAUUUGUAUCAAAUGAAAGAAAGAUUACAUGUGUUGGUCGUCAAGCUUCGUUCGAGAAAAGUUUGAGCAGAGAAGAGGAUCUUGCACUAAGAUAGAGUGAAUGAAUUUUCAACCUCUUAAAUUUUUUAUUAAAUUCACUAACAUAUAACGUUUGAUUUUAGGGUAUUCAAUGCUUUAUAACCUUACGUCUAAUUCUAGGACAUUCAACUCAUAUGUAAGUAUAUUUUCACCUUGGUGUCCAAACAUUUUUUGAAAAUUUACCCAAUAAGGCGUCGAACUUUUCAAUAUCCGACGUAUUAUAACCAAUUGACAUCGAAUUAUAGUCCUAAAUGACGUUUAAUAACUACAUUUAUUUACAAAAAUAUCACCCAUCAUUUUUAACGUUGGAUAUUCAAUAAUUGGACGUUGAACGCGUAACAUUAUACAUAGUUUUUGUAAUAGUGGUCAUCACCAACAUGAAUCACCAUACUGUACUUGUCAUCGACAACUCAGAAGGGAUGUUUCUCGUUCACUUGGUUGUUUUAACUGGCCAUGGCGGAAUAGUGCAACAUUUCCACUCUCCUCAUUUGCACAACAAAAUGGUUAAUAUGGAUAUUGAAAAACUCUUUUUUAUGACCAUUAGCAACAUGUUUGGUAAGCGCAUCUAUAUAUAUAUAUAUAUAUAUAUAUAUAUAUAUAUAUAUAUAUAUAUAUAUAUAUAUAUAUAUAUAUAUAAAAGGAGGAGCCUGAAGAAAAUUAAGAAGAAAUUAUUUAAUGUUACAUGGAGUACUUAUAUACUAAUUCAUGUUAUAUAACUUGUAGAUAUGUGGUUAAAUGUUUCUUUCUUUUCAUGAUACUUUGUUGGACCAACUGCAAACUAGUGGAAGAGAAUGAUAAAGAAAGAUCAAUGUGUCUGGCAUUGUUCAAGCUGUUAUGGGUUAAUGUUAGGUCAUUAUUAAACGAACAUUACAUAAAAAACAAGAAUUAUUGAUAGAUGAAAUUUAUUAAAAAAAGCCUAGAAUUAUUGAUGGAUGAAAUUUAUUGAUAAUGACAAAUAUUCAUCGAUAAUGAAUAUUUAUUGACGAAUUUUCAACUAUCAAAAAUUUGUUGAUAAAUGAAAAACAUUAUCGACAAAUUAUGAUGGUUAGUAAUUAUCAAAGACUAAAGACAGUGAGUUUCCAAUACAAAAAGUAUUGAUAUUAUUGACAACCUAAGACAAAAUAAAAAACUUUGAGGUUACGAGAUGACCUCUUGACAAAAAUAAUCGAAGUGAGAUAAAAGUCUCACACCAAAUAAAAAUAAUAAAUUAAUAAAAGAUUUAUAAAUUAAUAAACCUGUAAAUUCCUACAGCACACCCCAGGUGACAUAAAACAUCGUAGAAAGUACUCAUUGACACAAUACAAGUUGCAGAUACACCCUCGUCGCCAAUGAUACUCUCGCAAAAAAUCUUUACUUUUUCUAAGCAAUGAUCUUUUCACGGAAAACCCAUUAAACAGAUGCAUACUAUGCCAUAUAUUUCUUGCUUUCUAUGCAUGUAAAUAACAUAUAGGUGUGCAUUAUCAUGUUCCUAAGGCUAUGUACAGUGUUAUCCUCUAAUUAAUCUACUUUUCAACCUAUUGUAUUGGUACAAAUUAAGAGGCUAGGAAAAAAUUUCACUAAUUUAUUUUUCCUAAUUAUGCACUUGUUUUUUCUGAUUUAAACAAUUUCACUAAUUUAUUAAAUGUUUUAUGUAGAAAAAAAUUGAAAGAUAACGUACAUAAGUGUCUCAAUAAAAAAAAAUAUACCGUUCAGAUUUAUUGACUCAUGUUUUAGGAAUCCAAGAAUAUUGUGGACACGUUCACAAUCUAGAUUUGGUUCCGUGUCCAUUUAAAGUUUUUGGAGUCAAUACUCAUCUUCAUAGUGGAUCAUCAACAUCUUCUAAAGUCGAACAAUUACAAACUCAAGAUUAAUAAAUAUUUUAUUAAUAUUUAAUUGGUUUUUUAUUUUUAUGAUUAAUUUAUUAGGUAUUAUUUUUCUUACUUUUUAAAUAAUUUUUCUAUUAGAGGUAUCUUCAUUGACAUCACAAGUUAAUAAAAUGAAGACAAUGAUGACACUUUUGUUACAAAAUCAAACAAUAAUUUUGGUUAUAAAUUAUUUAAUUGAAAUCAUUUUAUAAAAGUUAAUUUAAUAAAAAAAUUAAUGAAAACCAUGAAGUUUAUUUAUUUAAUAAUAUUAAACACUUUAAUUAUUAAUUAUAUAUAAUUUAAAAUAUUUUAUAUACAUUUAAAUGCAUUAUUUAAAAACUAUAAAUUAUUUUAAAUAAUAAAAAAAAAUUAAAAAGGGAAAGUGUGUAGACUUCAAGAAGUCAUCAUCCCCUACAAUUUUAAUUAUUUUGUUUUUUUUAUUAAUUUAAAUAGUUUAUAUUUAAUAUUAUUAUUAAUUUAAAUACUUUAUAAUGAAAAAAAAUUAUUAACUAAUUAUAAUUUUUUUUAAAAAUAUACUAUAAUAAUAAAAACUUAAAAAAAUAAAUUAUAAUGAAAUAUAAUUUUUUUGAAUUUUUAAUUAGAUAAUUACAAUAAUUAUAGUUAAAAAAAUUUUAAUUGAAAUUAUUUUAUAAGAAAUUUAAUUUAAUUAUAAAAAUAAUUAAAAUUAUGAAAUUGACUUAUUUAAUAAUAUUUAAAAACUUAAAUUAUUAAUUAUAUUUAAUUUUAAUUAUUUUAAAUACAUUUAAUUUUUUAUAAAUUAUAAAUGAUUUUAAUUAAUAAAAGAAUUAAAAAAAAAAAAGUAAAAAUGUGUGGGGUGCCCGACUUCAAUAGAAGUCGUCAACCCCUACGACUUCAAUUUUUUUUAUAUUGCUUUUGUGAAGAAAGGUGUGGUAAUCGAUUUCAACACCUGUUAAUCGAUUAUCACAUUCUAAAGUCAUUUUUUGAAAUGUACGAUUUCGCUUCUAACUAAUGUGUCAUGGUAAAGUCGUGCAAGAGACACGACUUCUUUCAUUUAAAGUGGUUUGGAUUCUUCAUGACUUGUCUAUUUUUAUAAUUCAAAUUUUUUUUUGCUUAGAUACAUUAUUUAUACUUCAAAUUUGCUUAAUUACAUACAAAAACCCCACCCUUUUCUUCUCUUCGUCAAAUAAUGUUAGAGUUUCAUUACCAACAAACAUAUCAUUUAUAACUUUUCUAAUGUUUAUUAUUUUUCUUAGCCUUUGAAAGAUGAGACUUCAUGAAUUGAAGAAGUCGGUAAAUGAGAAAAUUCAUUUAGUAUCUACAACUUGUUGAUUGCUUUGUUUAAGAUAACAACUUAUUGAUCACUCUAUUUAAAUAGGAAAAAAUCCUUAAGUGCCUUUUUCCCCGUCCCAAUUGCUUAUCCUGAAUUUACAUCUCUAUAUUUACAAUAAUUUUCACAUUGAUUGAAUUAUAUUUUAACUUUAAACUCACAUGACCAAUGAACUUGUGUUUCACUCCUUACUCGGUUCUUGGCCAAAUCAACUAAUCGACCACACACAUCAAUGUGCACAAAUUACAGAGUCUUCUUUCUUAUUGUUUAGUUUCUUUGGGAAAACUUCUUGCAUACUCUUAAAGGAUAUAUACUUUACACAACUGAAUAGGAUAUCUUAACUCACUGAACAUUUUUCAAUUCUUAGAAUUUAAAUCUUUUUUUAUCAUAAAUAUUAGUUGUUAAUAUUUUAUUAGAACUUAAACUAUAUACAAUAAUUUAUUACAAAAUUAUAGUGAAGAUGAUGUAAAAUAGAGAAUGUACUAUUUUAUUUGACAUGCAUGAGUAACUUAUUUAUCAUACAUAUUUUUUGUUAUUUAGCAAACUAACCAUGAUGUUAAUAACCCUUCAAAUGCUUAAUAUAAAUAAUUACACUAGAGAAUACCCCUUAAUGUAUACUAACUCAUCUUUUCCUUUUCUGGCAACCCUCAUCUUGUAAUUACUAAUUCAAACAACCUUGAACAUGUUCAUAAUCGCUAUUUACCUUGUCUUCUGCAUAUAUGCAUUCCAUCUUGGCUAUUUAAUUUGUUCAUUUGAUAGAUGUGGCCAUUACAUUAUUUGAAAAACAUCCACUUGGUUCUUAAUUUAGAAAUUUAAGCAUGUAUAUAUUUUUAAAUAAGAAUUAGUUCUUUAUGGUCAAUAUUCAGUGUUAUAAUGGUAAUAUAUUUGAUAUUUAUUAAGUUAUCAAUCUCGUGAUACAAACUUAUAGCAACUGACAAACAAAUAUUUACACUUUCAAUUUUAAGUCAGGAGUUAGAACUUUGCAAAUAGAAAUAAAACAAAGAAAAGGUGCUUAAUAUAAGAUCAACUUUUAAUUUGAGCUUUUUUUUUUACUUGUUUUCAUGUUAAUAAUUUUUCGAUCGGACAAAUCUAGAGGGAAAAGUAGGAUCAACCGUAACUGUUAUGGAAUUGCUGGAGAGGAUAUGGACUGAAGUUAAAAAACUGGACGUCUUCGACAUUUAUUAUUUGAUUAAUAAAUGUCAUCUAUAGUGAUCUUUGAUUCAAUAGCAUCGGGAAACUACUGUGGCGUUUUUUAGGUCUUAUUCAUUUGAGUGGAUUUGAGAAAGAGUAAUUGUGAGGAUUUGAUGAUAAGUGAAAGUGAAUUUGAAAGUAAAUUUUUUUAAUCUGUCACAUAAAUUAAAUCAUACACUAAAUUUCAUAAAUUUUAUUUCUAAAUGUACUCUCACAACAAAAAAAAAUUACCUUCAAACUCUCUAACUUACUCUCCCCAAAUCCACUCAAGUGAACGAGACUUUAAUGAGUUUUACAAGAAUAAUGACCUAUCGGGACCUUGAUAGAGGGAAUCUAUUGCACGUGAUUUUUCUACAUCGACGUUUGAACAUCUUCGAUGGGUUUCAAAAUGAUAUAAAACAGCUGUUACUAACCGAUGUGGAUAAUGAAGGACUCUACCUCAUUGUCUAAUUUGUUUGUGAUAUAAUAAAGUUUGAAAUUAGUAACAUGCAUGUCAUACCACAAAGCUUUGUCAAUCCCAAACUUUCAGCUUCGAAUUUACUGUGCUGAUCUAAUCAUUCUUUCAUUAACUUUAUUGUUGUCGUCAGAGUGUUAUACUAGCUCAAUUUAGACUCCUCGUAAAUUUCAAGAUGCACUUAAGUUGGUCUUACAUACACAUAAUUGAUGAGAUAGACAUCCCAAAUAUACAUAUAUUUGAAGAGAUAUAAAUACACGUACAAUUAUCUCACAAUUCAAUAUUACAACCUCAAACAAAUUACAUAGUGGAUACUGCUACACACAAUAAUUAUAACAAGCAUUUUAGACUAUGCAAAUCUCCAAACUUUAACCCUUGAUUUGGAGACAAUUGAAACCUGUGUCAAUAGGAUGGACUCUUCUCAAUAGUAGCACAGGGAGGAUGCAUGCACCUCCUUCGCAUAGCAGUAGCUAUCCCUCCUUCAUACAACAGUGGCGACAACGGCUAGGGUUAACCAAGAAGUAGUGAAAGGUCGUGCCUCUUUCGCAUGACAAGACCUUCUUUGCAUAGUAGUAGCGACGUGGGGUGGAGGCUUCUCAACAUUAAAGGGCGACGGUGAAACUAGUAGGAAAAGACGAAACCAAUGAAGCUUUUCUUAAUUAGUAUAGAAUAAUUGUUGCUCCUUAUGUUCUUUCGCUGAGUUUUCUUGAUGUUUAUUUUUAUUACGAUAAAACUUUUCCACCUGACUAAAUUUCUUAUAGUAUUGACAUUGAGGUUUUUCAUAAUAUCAACAAUCUUUUUUUGAAGUGACUUGUCUUUUAACAAAUGUAUUGACACAGAAAAACUUUUAGAAUUUUCUUUAUUUCAAGAAAUCUUUUCUCUACUUUUAUUCCCUUAUAUUCUUUAUUUUGAGAUUGUAAUUUUAGUUUAAAUUAAAAGACAUUUUCGAUCAAAACUUCUUCAUGUCUUUUCAAUCUUUGUUUCGAUUAUAUAAACGAGGAAGUAACGGUUGAAUAAAUAAAUUCGAGUAAAAUAGAUCUUUAAUUAAAUAAAAUCUAGAAUUAUAUUCGAUUAGAGCUGAAAUUUUCGUUCAAAGCUGAAGUUUUGUAAUAAAAUAUCUUUGUCAAAAAAUUUUUGUUAGUUUUUAUUAAUUAUUUAAAUUUUCAAAAAGCAUUAAGAAAAAAAAAACGAAAUAAAAAAAUGGUACAUGUUCACAUCCAAACACGUUCUAAACAUUGGCUGAGUUGUGUCCACAAAUAUAAUUAUUGCUUUAUAACUUCAUAUAAAUAUGGCCUUUAACUUUCAAAUAUUUUGUACAUAUAAAAGUCAUUUUGUUAACAUCCAAACACGUUCUCCAUGUUGGCGAGUUGUGUCCACAAAUAUUCACCAAAGAACUUAAUUUAGAAUAGGAUCUCUCUCCCAACCCAACGGUGUUCUUAAAAAGAUAUUUUAACAAGUUGAAGAAGAAGCUAUAUUUAAAAUGUUUUUUUAGCAUACUCUUAAAUCAUAUAGAAUUAUCGAAUAUACCAAAAACAUGACAAGCUAGAAAAAUUGGAAGUAAAUAACAGCGGGACCAAGAGAUGCAAACAAAAUGCAAUAGGUGUAAAAAUACAGCCUAUAUGAUUCAAAUUCUUGUGGCUAUCUACAAAUAAAAUCUCAUACAAGACAGAAAAACGAGAUACAUUGAUUUUUGUUUUUCUUCAUGAGAUCAUUCUACCACUCAAAAUUCAAUGAAGAGAAGAUAAGGUUUGGUAUAUUUUUGGGUAUAUAAAGAGUGGUAGAACAGAGAGAGUGAUGAAGAGAAGAGAAAUAUGGCAACAGCAAAUGGAAUUCCUGGUGGCAUCACCAAUGUGCCUGGAGCUCCCAACAACGUGGAGAUCGAACAUCUGGCUCGCUUCGCCGUUCACGAUUACAACCAUAAGAACAACGCAGCUUUGGUGUUUGUGACAGUGAUAAGUGCAAAGACGCAGGUGGUGAGUGGGGUGUUGUAUUACAUAACCUUGAUGGUCAAAAAUGGCGAAACCAAAAUCGUGUAUGAAACCAAAGUGUGGGUGAGAGAAUGGUUGAAGUCUAAGGAGGUGCUGGAAUUCAAAGUCGUCGACGAUUCAAUCGGAGAAGGAAUCGAUGGUGGAGUCAACGAUGUUCCUGCCGACACCCCUCACAUCCAGAAUCUCGGUCGCUUUGCCGUUGAUCAAUACAACAAAGACGAGGUUCUCUUUUAUUAUAUUGUUCUUCCUUUUCUUCAUUUCACUAGGGAACGAUUAUUCCAUAAUUGAUUUUGUUGAUGACGCGCAGAAUGCAAAUUUGGAGUUUGUGAAGGUGAUUGAUGCAAAGUUACAGGUAGUGGAAGGGUUCUUAUACUACCUAACUUUGGAAGCAAAAAAUGGUAAGAGUAAAAAUGUGUAUGAAGCGAAGGUGUGGGAGAGGUCAUGGAUCAACUCCACUCAAUUGCUCGAAUUCAAGUCUGUCAAUGAUGCUCUUUAAUCGUCUUUCCAUCGCAGAAUACCACUUUUCAAGACUACGUACUUAUACUAUGCAUGCAUGCUAUAAAUAAAUGUAACUCUUGUUACGUACCCACCACCACCAUGUAUUCUCAUCAACGUUAUCAUAUAAUUAUAACUAAUGUUUGUCAUUAUAUAUAUAAAUGUUUUUUAUUAUAUGUGUGUGUUAAUUAUGCAACAUUUCUAAUUAACAGCCACGUAAACGUAAACAAAUAUAAUUCUUGUUGUUAUCUGUUUUCAUAUAAACCUCUUUAUAUAGAUUUAUAAAGUUCUAAAUAACCUUCAUUAUCUUGGUUGUUCUUAAUUUAAAAAUAUAUGCAUCUAUGUAUAUUUAAAUAAGAAUUACUUCUUUAUAGUCAAUAUUCAAAAUAUUGAGUGUUAUAAUAAUGGUAAUAUAUUAGAUAUUUAUUAAGUUCUUAGUCAUGAUACAAACUUGUAGAACCUGACAAACAAAUAUUUACACUUUCAAUUUUAACGCAGUAAAUACUUUCUAAAUAGAAAUAAAAUAAAGAAAAGGUGCUUAAUAUAAUAUCAACUUUUAAUUUAACUCUUUUUCUAUUUGUUUUCAUGUUAAUCAUUUAUCGGGCCAAUCUAGAGAGAGAAUUAUAGGGCGGCGUUGAAACAGGAGGAAAAAUAGGAACGGGUAUGCGAUUACUGUGUAGGAUAGAGGAUGAAUUUAAAAAACUACAAAUUAAAGACAUAUUGUUGUUUGAUGCAAUAGAAUUAGGAAACGAUGACGAAGUAAUAAGUGCUUUAUGGAGAUUUCUGAAUUACUCAUGACCUUAAAGGAUUCCAACGGACGGAACCUAGUGCACUUGUUUUUUCUAUAUGGACGUUUAGACUUCUUUGAACAAUUUCUAAAUGAGAGAAAACAGAAUUUACUAAGAGCAGUGGAUAAUGAAGGUAACAACGUUCUACUACACCUGGCUACGCUUUUGCCUCCUCAAUUCAAAUCAUUUUCAGGUUUAAGUGCAAAAAUUCAAAUGGACAAAGAUCUCUCUUAGUUCAAGGUGAAUUUAUUCAUUUCCUUAUUCCUUAUUCAAUCGUUCUUUAUUAAUUAGUAUUAUUGUAAGACAUGAGUUCUAGGAAUCUUGCCAGUGUGGAGAUCCAUAUGUGUAUUAAACUUCCCUACAAAUGGUAUCAGAACCCAUAGGUCUGGUGACCUAUGCUUGAUCAUAAGGUUCUCUUUUUUUCUUCUUCUUCCUCAAUUUGUGGGCUUCUAAUGACCCAACUUGACAAAUCCUUUCGCUCUUCAAUAUAGUGACUACGAUACUUUCAAAAUCAUCCGUUAGACCUCUCAAGAUCUUUUCCACAACCCGGUUAGGAGGAACCUCUUCUCCGCUCUUUGAGUUGGUUGGCCAUCAUCUGCACUCAAGCGCAACUUCGUCCAUUUCAUCCAUCUCCAUAUGUUCAAACUCUCUUCUGAGGGCUUGAACUCGAACCUGCUUCACGCGGGUAUCUCCUUUGUAUGCCACUUCAAAAGUCCCCUGCUUCUUUUUUUGACUUUGCAUUAGCUAUUUUCUCAAAUCUAGAUUCAUCCACUACAUAAAUACAGAAAGUAUAAAGUUGAUCUGUCUUUCACUCGUGUCUUUUUUAGUGCAGCAGUUUGGUUCAGUGUCUGAUUUUCAUCAUCCGCGAGUUCAUUGUACCCGUCCUCCACUAUGUCCCAUACAUCUUGGGAUCCAAGAAGGGAUGUCUAGAAAAAAUUGGCAAAGAUUGUGGAUAGUCCAAAAGGGGACAUAUAGAGCUCGACAAAAAGGGUUGAGAUUGUGGAGGAGUUAGUUGGGUCAUUAAAAGCCCAUAAAUUGAGGAAGAAAAGGUAAAAGAAGGAACCCAACGGUCAAGCACUACAGGUACGGUUCGACUGGAAUAAAUCUCAGAUUACUCAGAGCCGAGGUCCUAGUGGAAGAGGGCGAGGAGGUAGAGGACAAGGUGGACGUGGGCAAGGUAAUGAUAAUGAAGAUCAAAGUGGUCAGCAUAAUUAGCGUGACCAAGGACAAGGAAAAGGCCGAGGAGACCAGUCAAGAUUGGAGUGUUUUAAGUGUGGCAAGUACGACCACUAUCAGAGUGCUACAACUGUGGCAAGUUUGGUCAUAUUGCAAAGUAUUGCAAGACCGAGACAAAGGGGGAGACGAAUCUCGUUACUGAAGAUGUAGAAGAAUUGUUGCUGGUAAAGAGCUUAGAUGCAGUGGACAUGGAAAAUUCGGUCUCAAUAUUGGAUGAAGUGAUCCCGGUAAAAGGUGCGACAAACAUGAAAAAAGAACUCAAAAGAUGAAGAGAUUCAGCAGAUAGGGAGGCUUCUGGAUGAAGCUAAUGAGAUUAUGAAUAAACAGAGGGUUGAGCUCGAGGAGCUGAAGAAGGCGGAUGUUGGACCAUGUUUGAAAUCAAAGACUAAUGAGUUUUCUACCAACUCGAUAUGGUAUCUAGAUACUGGGGCAAGCAAUCAUAUGUGUGGGAACGAGAACUUUUUUUAUAAACUCACCAAGGAGGAGGCCAAAUUUGUGUCUUUUGGAGAUGACUCCAAGAUGGCUGUGAAAGGGCGUGGAACAAUUCAGCAUAUUCAAAAGAAUAGAGGAGUUGGAGAGAUUAGGGAUGUUUAGUAUGUUCCCAAGUUGAAGAGCAAUAUUUUAAGCAUGGGUCAGAUAAUUGAAAAGGGUAAUUCAAUUUUUAUGAAGGAUUAGGUACUGUAUUUAAAGGAUAAACAUGGUCGUCUAGCAAUCCAAGCAAAAGCAAAGAAGAAAGUUGUAUGAUCUAGAGUUGAAAAUCUUGGAGAGAAAGUGCUUGAAGCAAGGUAUGGCUAGCAAGAGCUUGGAUAACUCCAACUCAUGAUUGAAAGAAGCAAACCCAGUGUGGGAUGAUGCACAUGGAAAGCAAUGAAGGAAGAAUUUAAGUUUAUGGAAGAGUUUGUUGGGAUAAACUUAAAUUUUAGGGUUUUAUUAAUAAUUUUGUUUGAAUCUUAUUUUAUUAGUUUUGGGUCUAGUAAUAUUUAGUUUGAUUUGAUUGAGAUAAAAUAGGGAUAGGUAGUAAUGAUUUUCGGUACAAUAUUAUUUUAUGAUAGGUUAAGCAGAUUUUAUAUUUAAGACCGUUGAUAUUUUAUUUUCAGAUUUUAUUUUUGUUUUCGUAAUAUUGUAAGUAUCACGACAAUUUAAAGCCCUUCAAUUAUCAAUGAAUAAUAAAACUCAAUUUUGAAAAAAUAUCCAAGUGUGUAUCGUGAGAUUUUUCCAACACAUUUAAUUGUAAGCAAAAACAAUAUUGCAUCAACUGUAAGACAUAUGUGGAUAAACAAUUGGAAAGUUGUGUCCACACCAUUGAAAAUGUACCCAGCUUCAACUUAUCUUUAUUCGUUAAAAGGACCUCAAAAUAUCAUCUCUCAUAUCUCUUCGACUGUUCUUCCUGUUAAUUUUUUGUCCCAAUCAAUCACAACAAUUAGUAUAGAAUCUUUGAUAUCAGAAAAAUAAAACAGCAAUUACACAUUCCUGUAAAAUUUUCAACUUUAACUGUAUUAUUACCGCUCAAUUUUUUUUCCAAAGCUGAAACAACAAUAGAAUAUAACAGAAUUAUUGGGCAAUGUGGAAACUAUGUUACAUAUUUUGUUGUCUUUAACUACAGAGGUGUGAUCCGUUUGGUGAUUUUCAUUAACAAUGUUUGUAAUCGUAGUUUAUUGUCAUGAUUUUUUUGUGAUUCCUUAUUCGUUGUUUAAUUUUCUGAUACAGCUCCUAAGGUUGAGCCUAUUGAGUCUGAAUGACUGUUUUGUGGAUAAAUAAAAGGUACUUUCAAACAUUAUUUCUGUGAUUUUUCUUGUUUUAUAUGAAUUGUUAUUGUUAAAUGAAUCAAUAGUCAAAAGAGAGCUAUUCAUGUUUGGGGUUUUAACUAUUUUUGGUUGAAUGAAAAUGGUGUAAUGCAAACUUCAUCUUUGCCUGGGAUUAAGUGUAUAUUUGAAUAAACCUUUGUGGAAGCACGUUAGCUAAAGAAACUAGAAUGAACAAUGAAUUAGCUCUUUCAUAUUUAAACUUAGCUUGUGCGUAUUUAGAUAAUUAUGCACUUGUUUUCUCUUAUUUAGAUAAUUUCACUAAUUUAUUAAAUGUUGUAUGUAGGAAAGAAUUGAAGUAUAUAUGAAUCCACAACAUAAGUGUUUUAAUAAAAAAAAAUAUCCAGUUCAGAUUCAUUGGCUAAUGCUUUAGGAAUCCAAGAGCAUUGUGGAUGUGUUCAUGGUCUAGGUUUGGAUCCCUAUCCAUCUAAAGUCUUCGGAGCCAAAACUCGUUCUCAUAGUGGAUCAUCAACAUCUUCUCAAGUUGAAGAAUUAUAAACUCAGGUUAAUAAAUAUUUUAUAAAUAUUUGAUUAGUUUUUUACUUGUAUGAUUAAUUUUUUAGGUAUUAUUUUUCUUACAUUUUGAAUAAUUUUUUAUGUUACAAGUAUCUACAUAGACAUCACAAGUUAAUGAAAUGAAAGCAACGAUGACACUUUUUGUUGCAAAAUCAUCAGGGUCCAUUGCUUUCAAGUUUGCCAUGUUUCAACCAUCACCGCUAAUAAUUGCUAAAUUCAUUUGUACGGUUCUUUUUAUAAAAUAUAUUACCGACUAAAUAUUAUGUUAUAUUGUAGGUAUCUGAUCAAGAAAGCGUGUCAAACAAUGAAUAUAACGAAGAAGAACAAAAUUAUACAUUGUUAAUGAACAACUCUUAAUCAUAUUUUUAGUAUUUUAAUUUAGUAUUGAACAUCUUUCUUUUUAAUUUUUAUAUAUGAGCAAUUAAUUGUAUGAAUCAUAUUAAUAUGUUGAACAAUGUAUUUUAUUUCAUAUAUAAUAUUCAGUUUUAGUUCAUAUUAUUUCAUUUUCUUUUGUUAAUAAAACUAAUUUUAUCAUAAUCCCAUUUUAUUACAAUAAAAAACUAAAACAAAAAAAAAAAUUAUAUAUACACCUUUCCGACUGUUUUAGAACUCUGGUUAGGUAAACCCCUAUAAAUAGGGACAAUUUUGAAAACCCCAGUAAAUCCCGGUGGCUUUACCUACAAGCUCCUGUCUUAGAUAAUGAAGUUUAACAUUGUAUACCCAUCAUUUCCUCAAAAUUCUUCUUUUACUGUGUUCAACGCUUGCUUUGAACUUCUGACAGAGAUAAAGCCCUGCAAUUGUUAUGUCUGUUUUCCUUUAACUCUGUCUUUUGAGCCACAAUAAGGGUGGUUUGGAAUAGUGAAUCCCUUUUCUAUAAUGUCUCAUAAAUCUUGAGAAGGAAAGCUUGUCUUCAUUUUAACACUUCAAAAAUUAUAAUUUUCUUUUGCAAAAAUAUGUAUUGAUGAUGUUAAAUUGGUAGUGGCUAUUUCAGAAGUAGUGUAGAAUGGACUUAUAGUUUUCUUGAAGUAGUUGAAAAUUUUAUCUAUCUUAGUAGAUGACCGAACGUAGUUCAAAUACUAAACAAGGAUACUAUGGAGAAUAGUAAAAUGUGAAAGUAGUAAUUAAUAGAAGUGUAUUUGUUAGAUAGUGUUACAUCAAAUGGUAGUAUAUAUGAAUAUUUAUAGGUUAAGAUUAUUUUAGAAAAUGCUAAACAUAUAUAAUUUAUGUAAUGUUAUAGAUUUUUAAUUACGUAGAGUGUUCUUAAUUUGUUUUCCUAUCUCAGACUUUUCUACUAUAUUUUAGAAUUUGUAUUAUAUUUUGAAUAAUUUUAUCUUAGACUUUUCUAUAUUGUUAUAAAAUUUGCAUUAUACUUUAAUAAAAUCAUUAGUCCCUUAGUCUUAGUUCUAACCUGCACUUCAUCUGCAGAACACAAAGUCCUUCCCCGUAACCUUCUAAUACCAUAUAGUUCACCAUUUAAACAAAUAAGCACUAUAACUACUUCCAAUGAACUAAAAGACUUGUUUGGAUAAUUUUAUUUUAUCAAUACCUAUAUAUAGCAGAUAAAAAUAAGAAACAUUAAUAAAAUAAGUUUUUUAACAAUUACUUUAAACAUAUAAUUAGAUUAUAUAAACGAGUGAGUAACGUUGAAUGAAUAAAUAAAUUCUAGUAGUAAAAUAGAUAAUUAAUUAAAUAAAAUCUAGAAUUAUAUCCUUUCAGAGCUAAGGUUUUGUAAUAAAAUAUCUUUGUCAUUUUGUUUUAUUAAUUAUAUAAAUUUCCAAAAAACAUAAAGAAAAAAAAAAACGUUUUAAACAUUGGGUGAGUUGUGUCCACAAUUCUAAUUAUCGAUCGCUUGUACACAUAAAAAUAAUUUUGUUAACAUCUAAACACGUUCUUCAUAUUGGGCGAGUUGUGUCCACAAAUAUUCACCCAAGAACUUAAUUUAGAAUAUAUAGACAAGUUGAAGAAGAAGGUACAUUUAAAAUGUUUUUUUAACUUACUCUUAAAUAGUAUAGAAUUAUCGAAUAUACCAAAAACAUGACAAGCUAGAAAAAUUGGAAAUAAAUAACACCGCCGGGACCAAAGAGAUGGAAUAAUUUGGAGAAAAACAAAAUGCAAUAGGUGUAAGAAUACAAAUAAUAAAAUCUCAUACAUUGAUUUUUGUUUUUUUCAUGAGAUCAUUGUAUACUGUUUCUCUACCACUCAAAAUUCAAUGAAAAGAAGAUAAGGUUUGGUAUAUUUUUGAGUAUAAAGAGAGGUAGAACAGACAGAGUAAUGAAGAGAAGAGAAAUAUGGCAACAGCAAAAGAUCUUGGUGGCAUCACCAUUGUGCAUGGAGCUGCCAACAACUUGGAGAUCGAAGAACUGGCUCGCUUCGCCGUUGACUAUUACAACAAAAAGCACAACGCACUUUUGGAGUUUGUGACAGUGAUAAGUGCAAAGAAGCAGGUGGUGAGUGGGAUAUUGUAUUACAUAACCUUGAUGGUCAAAAAUGGCGAAACCAAAAUCGUGUAUGAAACCAAAGUGUGGGUGAGAGAAUGGUUGAACUCUAAGAAGGUGCUGAAAUUCAAAGUCGUCGACGAUUCAACCACAGAAGUAGGCACAGGUGAAAUCAAGGAUGUUCCUGCCGACACCCCUCACAUCCAGAAUCUCGGUGCCUUUGCCGUUGAUCAAUACAACCAAGACAAUAAGGUUCUCUUUUAUUAUAUUGUUCUUUCUUUUCUUGAUUUCACAAGAGAACCAUUAUUCCAUGAUUGAUUUUGUUGAUGACGCAGAAUGCAAAUUUGAAGUUUGUGAGGGUGAUUCAUGCAAAGGAACAGGUAGUGGAAGGGUUCUUAUACUACCUAACUUUGGAAGCAAAAGAUGGUAAGAGUAAAAAUCUGUAUGCAGCGAAGGUGUGGCAGCUCGACUCCACUGAAUUGCUGGAAUUCAACCGUGUCUAUGAUGCUCUUUAAUCUUCUUUCCACUUUUCAAGACUACGUACACUAUGCAUGUAUGCUAUAAAUAAAUGUAACUCAUGUUACGUACCCACCACCACCAUCUAUUCUCAUUAACUCCAUUGUAAUGUUUCUCAUUAUAUAUAUAAAU